UAGUUCUUAAUCUUGAGGAGCUCAGCUCUUCCAUCCAGAAACUGAAUCUAGCGGACUCUCAAGAGAUCCCGUAGAUGGCCAGCAUGUGAUGUUUGUAGGUCUUCCUCUUUGUAGGUCACUUUUUCCGAAACCACUUGUAGGCAAUCUAACAGAGAAGGUGGAAUUCUAUUUUUGAAUCCUACUUGUCUUCGACUGAGGUUGAAUGUAUUUACAGAUUGACUUCACUGGAUCCACCAGGUGAAACGUCAAGAUGGCAUUAGCACUGCUGGUUCUCUUAUAAUAAAGCUAGGCUUGUUAUCUUUUAUAUUUCUUUUAUAAGAAUUGUAAAGGAGUCGGAUGGAGGUUUAGGACAGAGAUCUUAAGGUUCAUUAAAUUUGACAAAUUUUUGGUGCAUCCUGUAAUUUAUAAAACAGCAACAUAGAUUUGCAAGACAUGACUAAAGUGAAAAUAAUCACAA